UACGGAGGGUGCAAGCGUUAUCCGGAUUCACUGGGUUUAAAGGGAGCGUAGGUGGCCUUAUAAGUCAGUGGUGAAAUCUCUGGGCUUAACCCAGAAAUUGCCUUGAUACUGUAGGGCUUGAGUAUAGUUGCCGUUGGCGGAAUAUGACAUGUAGUGGUGAAAUACAUAGAGAUGUCAUAGAACACCGAUUGCGAAGGCAGCUGACGAAACUAUAACUGACACUGAGGCUCGAAAGUGCGGGGAUCAAACAGG
rnacentral:rRNA from 1 species